CAGUCUCAGUUCGGAUUGAAGGCUGAAAUUCGCCUUCAUGAAGCCGGAAUUGCUAGUAAUGGCAGGUCAGCAUACUGCCGUGAAUACGUUCCCGGGCCUUGUACACACCGCCCGUCACACCGUGAGAGUUGGGAAUACCCGAAGCCUGUGAGCUAACUUUUAGAGGCAGCAGUCGAAGGUAGAAUCAAUGAUUGGGGUGAAGUCGUAACAAGGUAGC
rnacentral:rRNA from 1 species